rnacentral:miRNA from 1 species
UUGACAGAAGAUGGAGAGCAC